rnacentral:rRNA from 1 species
GUGGGGGAUAUUGCACAAUGGGGGAAACCCUGAUGCAGCGACGCCGCGUGAAGGAAGACGUACUUCGGUAUGUAAACUUCUAUCAGCAGGGAAGAAGAUGACGGUACCUGACUAAGAAGCCCCGGCUAACUCCGUGCCAGCAGCCGCGGUAAUACGGCGGGGGCUAGCGUUAUCCGGAUUUAUUGGGCGUAAAGCGUGUGUAGGCGGUUUAUUAAGUCAGGCGUAAAAGAUCACAGCUCAACUGUGUAGGGCGGUUGAAACUGGUAGACUUGAAUACGGUAGAGGCAGGGGGAAUUCCAUGUGUAGCGGUGGAAUGCGUAGAUAUAUGGAGGAACACCAAUGGCGAAGGCAACCUGCUGGGCCGGAAUUGACGCUGAGACACGAAAGCGUGGGGAGCAAACAGGAUUAGAAACCCGAGUAGUCC